UCCUUUGGAAUAGGGUAUCAUAGAGGGUGAGAAUCCCGUCUUUGACUCAGUGCAUGCUACUAUGUGAUACGUUUUCAAAGAGUCGAGUUGUUUGGGAAUGCAGCUCAAAAUGGGUGGUAAAUUUCAUCUAAGGCUAAAUAUUGGCGAGAGACCGAUAGCGAACAAGUACCGUGAGGGAAAGAUGAAAAGAACUUUGAAAAGAGAGUUAAACAGUGCGUGAAAUUGUUGAAAGGGAAACGCUUGACACCAGUCAUGCGAGUGGAAAAUCAGUCUUUUGCAGUGAGGAGUUGUGGGCGUUCAGACCGCAAGGCUGGCGUUUGCUUGAUUUUUGCUGUAAGUGAUGCACUUUUUCAUUUGCAGGUCAACAUCAGUUUGUUUUGCUGGACAAAACCCCAAGGGAAGGUGGCAGCUUAGGCUGUGUUAUAGCCCUGGGGCGAUACAGUGGAAUGGACUGAGGUUUUUGCAGUGUGUGCUUUCGGGCAAGGCCGACUGGGUGCUAUGGGAUCGUUCGGCGUACAAUGCUUGCAUUUUGCGUCGUGUCUUUUUUAUACUCGCUCAACUCGGCUCUUCCACACUUAGGAUGUUGACUUAAUGGUUUUAAUCGACCCGUCUUGAAACACGGACCAAGGAGUCUAACAUAUAUGCAAGUGUUUGGGUGGCAAACCCAUGCGCGUAAUGAAAGUGAACGUAGGUGCGAUCCGCAAGGUGCAGCAUCGACCGAUCUUGAUAUUUUUGGAUAGAUUUGAGUAAGAGCAUAUAUGCUGGGACCCGAAAGAUGGUGAACUAUGCCUGAAUAGGGUGAAGCCAGAGGAAACUCUGGUGGAGGCUCGUAGCGAUUCUGACGUGCAAAUCGAUCGUCAAAUUU
rnacentral:rRNA from 1 species